rnacentral:rRNA from 1 species
UACGAAGGGUGCAAGCGUUAAUCGGAAUUACUGGGCGUAAAGCGUGCGUAGGCGGUUCUUUUAAGUCUGCUGUGAAAUCCCCGGGCUCAACCUGGGAAUGGCAGUGGAUACUGGAGAGCUAGAGUGUGAUAGAGGAUGGUGGAAUUCCCGGUGUAGCGGUGAAAUGCGUAGAGAUCGGGAGGAACAUCAGUGGCGAAGGCGGCCAUCUGGAUCAACACUGACGCUGAGGCACGAAAGCGUGGGGAGCAAACAGGG